UACGUAGGGUGCAGGCGUUAAUCGGAAUUACUGGGCGUAAAGCGUGCGUAGGCGGUUUGUUAAGACAGGUGUGAAAUCCCCGGGCUUAACCUGGGAACUGCGCUUGUUACUGGCAGACUGGAGUGUGGCAGAGGGGGGGUGGAAUUCCAGGUGUAGCAGUGAAAUGCGUAGAUAUUCGCAAGAACACCAGUGGCGAAGGCGGCUCACUGGCCCGGUACUGACGCUGAGGUGCGAAAGCGUGGGGAGCAAACAGG
rnacentral:rRNA from 1 species